rnacentral:rRNA from 1 species
UACGGAGGGGGCUAGCGUUGUUCGGAAUUACUGGGCGUAAAGCGCGCGUAGGCGGCUUUGUAAGUUAGAGGUGAAAGCCCGGAGCUUAACUCCGGAAUUGCCUUUAAGACUGCAUCGCUAGAAUUGUGGAGAGGUAAGUGGAAUUCCGAGUGUAGAGGUGAAAUUCGUAGAAAUUCGGAAGAACACCAGUGGCGAAGGCGACUUACUGGACACAUAUUGACGCUGAGGUGCGAAAGCGUGGGGAGCAAACAGG